rnacentral:lncRNA from 1 species
UGCGGUGAAGGAAAGCUUCCAUGGUUGACGAGAGAAGGAGGAACCGAAAGAGGAAGAUGAACAAGACAAAUUGAGAAAGAGUGAGGGUAGAGGAUUCGACGACAGAAAUGGUUGGGAUAGCCGAGGGGCAAUAGCAACCGUCGUGAAGCUGCCAGCCCAUGUUUCCGGUGAUGAAGAAAAAGGAGUCUCUAUUCACCUUUUAUGGUAUUUUCCUUAUUCUGACUUUUGUUUUUCUUUAUUCUAACCUAAGUUACCCAAGCAUCAUUAUAAUUUUUUUUUUAAAUUACCCAUUCAAAAAUAUCAUAAGUCAUAUGUGCCAC